rnacentral:rRNA from 1 species
CAUGCAAGUCGAACGGAAACCUUCGGGUUUUAGUGGCGAACGGGUGAGUAACGCGUAAGCAACCUACCCUAAAGACGAGGAUAACCAUUGGAAACAGUGGCUAAGACUGGAUAGGAAGAAAUAAGGCAUCUUAUUUCUUUUAAAAGACCUAGUAAUAGGUAUACUUUAGGAGGGGCUUGCGCCAUAUUAGUUAGUUGGUAGGGUAAUGGCCUACCAAGACGAUGAUGUGUAGCUGGACUGAGAGGUUGAACAGCCACAUUGGGACUGAGACACGGCCCAAACUCCUACGGGAGGCAGCAGUAAGGAAUUUUCGGCAAUGGAGGAAACUCUGACCGAGCAACGCCGCGUGAACGACGAAGUACUUUGGUAUGUAAAGUUCUUUUAUCAAGGAAGAAAAGCAAGUGGCGAACCAUUUGUUUGCCGGUACUUGAUGAAUAAGCCCCGGCUAAUUAUGUGCCAGCAGCCGCGGUAAGACAUAAGGGGCAAGUGUUAUCCGGAAUUAUUGGGCGUAAAGGGUGCGUAGGCGGUCUAGUAAGUCAGUGGUGUAAUGGCAACGCUCAACGUUGUCCGGCUAUUGAAACUGCUAAACUUGAGUUAGAUAGAGGCGAGUGGAAUUCCAUGUGUAGCGGUAAAAUGCGUAAAUAUAUGGAGGAACACCAGAGGCGUAGGCGGCUCGCUGGGUCUUAACUGACGCUGAGGCACGAAAGCGUGGGGAGCAAACAGGAUUAGAUACCCUGGUAGUCCACGCCGUAAACGAUGAGUACUAAGUGUCGGGUUAAACCGGUACUGAAGUUAACACAUUAAGUACUCCGCCUGAGUAGUACGUACGCAAGUAUGAAACUUAAAGGAAUUGACGGGACUCCGCACAAGCGGUGGAUCAUGUUGUUUAAUUCGAAGAUACCCGAAAAACCUUACCAGGUCUUGACAUGUUUUUGCGAAACGGUAGUAAUAUCGUAAAGGUUAUCAAAAACACAGGUGGUGCAUGGUUGUCGUCAGCUCGUGUCGUGAGAUGUUAGGUUAAGUCCUAAAACGAGCGAAACCCUUAUCGUUAGUUGCCAGCACGUUAUGGUGGGGACUUUAACGAGACUGCCAGUGAUAAACUGGAGGAAGGUGAGGAUCACGUCAAAUCAGCAUGCCCCUUAUGACCUGGGCUACAAACGUGAUACAAUGGCUGUUACAAAGGGUAGCUGAAACGUAAGUUCUUGGCCAAUCCCCAAAAACAGUCUCAGUCCGGAUUGAAGUCUGCAACUCGACUUCAUGAAGUUGGAAUCGCUAGUAAUCGCGAAUCAGCAUGUCGCGGUGAAUACGUUCUCGGGGUUUGUACACACCGCCCGUCAAACCACGAAAGUUGGCAAUACCCCAAAAUGGUAGCCUA